rnacentral:rRNA from 1 species
GACGAACGCUGGCGGCGUGCUUAACACAUGCAAGUCGAACGGAAAGGCCCUGCUUGCAGGGUGCUCGCGUGGCGAACGGGUGAGUAACACGUGGGUGAUCUGCCCCUUACUUUGGGAUAAGCCUGGGAAACUGGGUCUAAUACUGGAUAGGACAUUGCUGUAGGUGGUGUGGUCGAAAGAUUAGUUUCGGUAAGGGAUGAGCUCGCGGCCUAUCAGCUUGUUGGUGGGGUAAUGGCCUACCAAGGCGUCGACGGGUGGCCGGCCUGAGAGGGUGGGCGGCAAGAUUGGGACUGAGACACGAGGCAGAAGCCUACAGGAGGCAGCAGUGGGGAAAAUUGUACAGUGGGCGCACGGCUGAUGCAGCGACGCCGCGUGGGGGAUGAAGGCCUUCGGGUUGUAAACUCCUAACAGCCAUGAAGAAGCGCUUGUGGUGACGGUAGUGGUAGAAGAAGCACCGGCUAACUACGUG